UGGGGAAUUUUGGACAAUGGGGGCAACCCUGAUCCAGCAAUGCCGCGUGAGUGAAGAAGGCCCUCGGGUUGUAAAGCUCUUUUGUCAGGGAAGAAAAGGUUGUGGCUAAUAUCCACAGCUGAUGACGGUACCUGAAGAAUAAGCACCGGCUAACUACGUGCCAGCAGCCGCGGUAAUACGUAGGGUGCAAGCGUUAAUCGGAAUUACUGGGCGUAAAGCGUGCGCAGGCGGUUGAUUAAGUUUGAUGUGAAAUCCCCGGGCUUAACCUGGGAACUGCAUUGAAUACUGGUCAGCUAGAGUGUGUCAGAGGGGGGUAGAAUUCCACGUGUAGCAGUGAAAUGCGUAGAGAUGUGGAGGAAUACCGAUGGCGAAGGCAGCCCCCUGGGAUAACACUGACGCU
rnacentral:rRNA from 1 species